AACCAUUCUGGUGGCCUAGUGGUUAGCGCAUCCACCUCAGAUAUGGAUGGUCGUGGGUUCGAUCCCCGUUCGAGUCA